GGGGUUGUAGCUCAGUGGUGGACCACAUGUUUAGCUCACAGGUAGGCCCUGGGUUCAAUUCCCAGCAUUACCA
rnacentral:tRNA from 1 species